rnacentral:rRNA from 1 species
GACGAACGCUGGCGGCGUGCUUAACACAUGCAAGUCGAACGGGUCUGCCCUGUUUUUUGCGGGGUGGGUCAGUGGCGAACGGGUGAGUAACACGUGAGUAACCUGCCCCUCACUUCUGGAUAACCGCUUGAAAGGGUGGCUAAUACGGGGUGUUCUGGCUGUGCCGCAUGGUGUGGCUGGGAAAGAUUCACUUUUGUGGUGUUUUGGUGGGGGAUGGGCUCGCGGCCUAUCAGCUUGUUGGUGGGGUGAUGGCCUGCCAAGGCUUUGACGGGUAGCCGGCCUGAGAGGGUGGGCGGUCACACUGGGACUGAGAUACGGCCCAGACUGCUGCGGGAGGCAGCAGUGGGGGGUAUUGCACAAUGGGCGGAAGCCUGAUGCAGCGACGUCGCGUGAGGGAUGGAGGCCUUCGGGUUGUGAACCUCUUUCGCCGGUGAAGAAGGUCCUGCUCUUUGUGGUGGGGUUGACGGUAGCCGGGUUAUGAAGCGCCGGCUAACUACGUG